AUGGAAUUCGGGGAGAUAGAGAGGGCAUCCGGCAAGGAGAAGGGGAAGGGAUCCGGCAAGGAGAAGGUGAGGGAGAUGAUUCUGGUCGGGGAACUCCGGAAGAUAGAGAGAGUAUACGAGAAGGAGAUGAAGUUGAAGAUGGAAUCCGGAAAGGAGAUGGAUUGGGUUCGGAAAUUUCGGAAGCUGGAUGGGGACUUCGGGGAAGAGAUAGUGAAUUCGGGAGAUAUGAAUUUGGUUCGGAGAUUUCGGACGAUGGAGAGGAAAUAUAGGGAGGAGAUGGAGAUCCGGUCGAAGAAGGAUAUGGGGCGGACCACGUACGUUGUCCGCAAUAAGAGGGAGGACACGUUCCGCAGCAGUACCAAAACUGAGAUCAAAAGGAGGGAGGCCACGUUCCAUAGCAUAGAUAAUGAAAGCCUUGCCGACGCUCUUUGUCGCCAUAUUAUUAUCCAGAGGAGGGAGAUCACCGCCCUGGAGAGACAGGUCGAAUCACGAGGGUUGGAGACGAUCGCCGGAAAGAAGGCUUAUCUAGAGAGGCAAAGGAAAAAAGGAGGGAUUUACGCUCCACAGCAGUUGCCACCCGAGAUGAUAGAGAUGUCCAAGUUGUCUGUCCAGAACAUUGACUCAGAUGCAAUCAACUUGCUCGGGAAAGAGAUUGUAGAUGAUCCAAUUGUUGCUAAGCGAGUGAAUUUGGAUGAUCUUAGUUCUUACCAUGCCGCCUGGAAAUCUAUAUGGGGCAGUCAGAUAGCAGGAUGUGGUUCGUUUGAUGACAUAACCACGUUGAGCCCUAUGCAAUUUACGCACUCCACGCCUGGUAUCUUUCCACACGCUGCUGUUGCCGGUCCAGCCCUGCAGAUCUUCUCCAUCAAAAUUGUGAAUGUGCAUGCCAACUUGCGCUGGCCGCUCCGUGUGUACGGGGUGGUUGCUGCACGAGACAUCGUGGACCGCAACCGCAACCUUCUCUUCUCCCGGUCAAGGGCAAACUGCCAAGAAGUCACCGAAGCGGAUCCUUUUUUGCUCUUGACUGGCCCUUCUCGUGCAAUUGUGGCUGCGGACACGGUUAAAUUUGAAGUUGAGCUUAGAAUUAUGUAUGCUGGAGCAGAUACCAAAGAUACAGUAUUGUUCUCUUCUACCUAUAAUUACUAUUCCAUGCAGCAGUAUGCCAACCCCAGGAUCAGCAGCUGCUGUGGUAUGUUAGAGUUAAGUGUUGGGCGCCUUACUAGAGCGGUCCAGGCCACUAUCGUGGGUGUCCGUGUUGUUGAAGGGGAGUGGCCUUUUCAAUAUGGAUGCCGGGUUUCUUGCUACUUAUCUCCUGAUGAAGAUCUUGUUCCGACUACACCUACGGAAGUCGUGUUAGUUAACUGUAAGGUUGAGGAAAUGGAGAAACAGUCUGAUGGUUACGUAAAUCUGUCAAGAAAUGUUGUUUCAGUGCAACUAGAGCAAACGCUGAAAGUGGUCAUUCAAGCCUACUCAGAAUCUGGCCUUGAAUAUCUACAUAAUGUUGAGGUUGACUUCCCUGUGAAGCAAUGCCAAACAACCAAGUGUUUAUGUACAGUUGGUAACUCGACGGUUCAGAUCGUUGUUGCUUGGUCCCUUCUUGCCAUGGAUAAGCUGGAUCUUGUGCUGGAGGGGUAUGUUACCCCAGUGUAG
rnacentral:rRNA from 1 species